rnacentral:rRNA from 1 species
ACGUAGGGGGCCAGCGUUGUCCGGAAUUACUGGGCGUAAAGCGCGCGCAGGCGGCCUAGUAAGCAGCGGGUGAAACUCCGGGGCUCAACCCCGGAACUGCUUGCUGAACUGCUAGGCUCGAGUUCGGGAGAGGACAGCGGAAUUCCUGGUGUAGCGGUGGAAUGCGUAAAUAUCAGGAAGAACACCCGUGGCGAAGGCUGCUGUCUGGAACGAUACUGACGCUGAGGCGCGAAAGCUAGGGGAGCGAACGG